GCCGAAGUGGUGGAACUGGCAGACACGCUGUGUUCAGGGCGCAGUGCCCUUCUGGGCGUGCGGGUUCGACUCCCGCCUUCGGCACCA
rnacentral:tRNA from 1 species